GUUAGGGCCGCACUUUCUUGUUCACGAAAACGAAGCCUCUGGAAUUGUGUCCAUGGCUCUAACGGAACUUCCUAUAUAUACAUACACAAGCCAGUAGAUACAUUCUUUUCUUGACGACUGGGCUACUCAAAGAAGUAACCUGAGUUCUCUUCUCGAUCGAUUCCCGGCGCCGAAACCAGAUUUGCGCCCCGGGGGGGGGGGGUGUUGGGCAAUUGGAAGCGAGGAAGACGAUGGAGAGCAGAGGGAGACCAUCUCGGGGAAUGCUGCCGCUGCUGGCGCUUCACGCUGCGAGCGAGUUUUACAGGCUUCAGAGGAAGCCGCCUGUCACCGCCGGCCUUCUCGCAGCCAAUACUCUCAUAUAUCUCAGACCUUCCUUUCUCCGUUCAAUUCUUCCUUCUAUUGACGACGUCUGGUUCAAUCCCCACCUCAUCAUCAAGUAUGGGGACCUGAAGCGUUUUUUCUUGUCGGCAUUCUAUCAUGUGAAUGAAUCUCAUCUGGUCUACAACAUGAUGUCACUUUUAUGGAAGGGGAUUCAGUUGGAAACUUCAAUGGGAAGUGCUGAAUUUGCAUCCAUGGUUGCUGCCCUGCUGGGUAUGUCACAGGGAAUCACGCUACUGCUUGCCAAGUCCCUUUUUUUGUUCUUUGACUAUGAGAGAGCUUACUACUCUGAGUACGCUGUUGGAUUUUCUGGUGUCCUCUUUGCCAUGAAAGUGGUUCUCAAUUCCCGGUCGGAAAACUACACUUAUGUGCAUGGAUUGAUUGUGCCAUCACGACAUGCUGCAUGGACAGAAUUGAUUCUCAUCCAAAUGUUUGUUCCUGGGGUCUCAUUCCUUGGCCAUCUAGGUGGAAUACUUGCUGGAAUUCUCUAUCUACGGUUGAAAGGUGCAUAUUCUGGUUCAGAUCCUUUGGCUGAAUUCAUCAGAAGUUUAGCUGGCGUGUUUACCUGGCCUUUUAGGUUUAUUCGGGGCUUGUUUCAGUUCCGAAGGCGGAGAAUUUCUGGUAGAGGAACUGUUGGUGGGAGUCAGACUGGUGGGACAGAAUCUGGGAUGUGGAGAUGCCCAGCAUGUACUUAUGAAAAUUCUGGUUGGUUAAACAUAUGUGAGAUGUGUGGAACAGAUAGGAGUGGCAAUGGAUUUUAUUCCCGUCAAGCAUCACGUCGUUCUCAUGAUGUUCCUUUAGAAGAAUUACGGCGUCGGAGGAUUGAAAGAUUUGGGAGAUAAAAAAAAAAAAAGGGCAGCUCAGUACGCAAAGCUCCGGCGUAUCCAGGGUCUGGGGAAGGGACAGACCAUGAUGGGUCUAUAGUAUGCAACCUUACCUUGCAUUUUUGCAAGCUUCUGCUCUACAAGUAAAUAAGGAAAAUUGUUAUCUUAUUAGAACGAAGUUCUAGGAAUGACACGAGAAUGUACAUCACUGCUGCAUUGCAUGGGUGACUUCCAGUGUCCUUAUUGGGUGCUGAGUUGGUUGCUUGCUUCCUGUGGUGUUCGCUGGUUGAUUGAGUUGCAUGCUUCCUUCUUGCCUCUAAUUACGGAUGAAAACUGUUGGAUGUUGAAGGAGUACAAGUCCUACUUCUAUUUGUUCUUUUAACACCCUGAAUCUUUGCCAAACCUGCUUGGCAAUCAUAUCAAAAGAAGCAAUGAGCUCCUGAUUUUUGAUGAAAUCAUGUGCUGAAACUUCUGAAAUUGGUUCCAUUGGCUCCUCAAACACAUGUAUCCAAUUCUAUACACACAACUUUUUAUCAACUUCCAGUUUUUAGUACCGUAGGGAUAUUGUCUACCUGAUAUUGAAUAUGGUACUGGGAGCAAUGGAGAAGGUCAAAUCUUCUGUGGUAGGUUCCUUAGGCCUUGGACAAUAAAUUUGUAGGUUUUUUAAAAUAAGUAUAUCUUGUUUUUUUUUUUUUUUUUAAAAUGUUAAAUGAUGAGGUAUCUUAUACUGUGCUGCUCUUGUAGCUACUUUUUGUUUUAAGGGGAGUUUGAGGUGCUUAAAAUAUCUCUGACAA